rnacentral:rRNA from 1 species
GACGAACGCUGGCGGCGUGCCUAAUACAUGCAAGUCGAACGGAGCGGCGGAGGGGGGAGUAAUGCCUAGGAAUCUGCCUGGAAGUGGGGGAUAAGGUUCGGAAACGGGCGCUAAUACCGCAUACUAUCAGAUGAGCCUAGGUCGGAUUAGCUCGUUGGUGGGGUAAAGGCCUACCAAGUCGAAGAUCAGUAACUGGUCUGAGAGGAUGAUCAGACACACUGGAACUGAGACACGGCCCAGACUCCUACGGGAGGCAGCAGUGGGGAAUAUUGGACAAUGGGCGAAACCCUGAUCCAGCCAUGCCGCGUGUGUGAAGAAGGUCUUCGGAUUGGAAAGCACUUUAAGUUGCGAGGCGUUACCUACAGAAUAAGCACCGGCUAACUUCGUGCCAGCAGCCGCGGUAAUAC